rnacentral:rRNA from 1 species
GCUGAGGCGCGAAAGUGUGGGGAGCAAACAGGAUUAGAUACCCUGGUAGUCCACACUGUAAACGAUGAAUGCUAGGUGUAGGAGGUAUCGACCCCUUCUGUGCCGCAGUCAACACAAUAAGCAUUCCGCCUGGGGAGUACGGCCGCAAGGUUGAAACUCAAAGGAAUUGACGGGGGCCCGCACAAGCAGCGGAGCAUGUGGUUUAAUUCGACGCAACGCGAAGAACCUUACCAGGUCUUGACAUCCAGUAAAAACCUGAGAGAUCAGGUGUGUCUUCGGACAUACUGAGACAGGUGGUGCAUGGUUGUCGUCAGCUCGUGUCGUGAGAUGUUGGGUUAAGUCCCGCAACGAGCGCAACCCUUGUGUUCAGUUGCUAACAGGUGAAGCUGAGAACUCUGAACAGACUGCCGGGGACAACUCGGAGGAAGGUGGGGACGACGUCAAAUCAUCAUGCCCCUUAUGACCUGGGCUACACACGUGCUACAAUGGCCACCACAGAGAGGGGCAAGCCCGCAAGGGGGAGCAGAUCUCAAAAAAGUGGUCCCAGUUCGGAUUGUGGGCUGCAACCCGCCCACAUGAAGUCGGAGUGCUAGUAAUCGC